rnacentral:lncRNA from 1 species
GAACCAAGACAGGCCAGGUUUCCGGUGAUCGUGGUGGAAAGGAAUAUCCAAGUGUUGACAAGCAGAAACCUGAUGAGAAAGGUUAAUAAAUAUAAUAUUUUGUUGCCUAUAUGUUGCAAUUCCAAUGAACAAUUGCAGAAAACAUGAUGUUUUAGCAUCAGCAUUUCUAAAUUAUGUUUAUAUAUACUACUGCAUUGAAUCGGUGCAGAAGAAGAUAUUACUGUAAAUGAUGAAACUGAGGAACAAUCCUCACAAGAAGCUGCUAAUACAGAUGAAACAAAUGCAGAAGCUUGCCUAGUUCCGGCAGGUGAAGAUGAAAGUAAUCGUGGAACUGAGACAGGCCAGGUUUCUGGUGAUCGUGGUGGAAUGGAAUAUCCAAGUAUUGACAAGCAGACCCCUGAUGAGAAAGGUUAAUAAAAUAUGUUGCAAUUCCAAUGAACUAAUGCAGAAACAACAUAUUUCAGCAUCAGUAUUUCUAAAUUAUGUUCAUAUAUGCUACUGUAUUGAACUCGUGCAGAAGAAGAUAUUACUGUAAAUGAUGAAACUGAGGAACAAUCCUCACAAGAAGCUGCUAGCACAGAUGUAUUAGAGAGACAAGUUCAACUACAUCCUGUAGUUAAAGAUAAAGCUACUCAUGGGAAUCAAAUAGGCUUUGUUACUAUUGAUCCCGAGAGAACCACAGAUCUUAAUGGUGACAAUCCGAAAAAGCAUGAGAAAGGUUAGUAAAUGCAGUGUUUUAUUAACCAAUAUUUGGUUGUCUAUUUACCAGGCACUUGCUAAAUGAAUUUGUUUCUCUGUAUAUGAUGAUGAUGAUUGGUGUAGAAGAAGAUACUAACAUGAUUCAAGUAGAUAAGGAAAAUUCCAUGAA